UUCCGGUUGAUCCCGCCAGAGGCUACUGCUAUCGGGGUCCGACUAAGCCAUGCGAGUUGAGAGGGGUAAGCCCUCGGCAUAUUGCUCAGUAACACGCGGAUAACCUGCCCUUGGGUUUGGGAUAACCCCGGGAAACUGGGACUAAUACCGGAUAGAUCAAAGAAACUGGAAUGUUCUCUGAUCGAAAGCUCCGGCGCCCAAGGAUGGGUCUGCGGCCUAUCAGGUAGUAGUGGGUGUAACGUACCUACUAGCCUACGACGGGUAAGGGUUGUGAGAGCAAGAGCCCUGAGAUGGAUUCUGAGACAUGAAUCCAGGCCCUACGGGGUGCAGCAGGCGCGAAAACUUUACACUGCGGGAAACCGCGGUAAGGGGACCCCGAGUGCCAGCACCUAGUGCUGGCUGUCCAGCUGUUCAAAUAACAGUUGUUAGCAAGGGCCGGGCAAGACCGGUGCCAGCCGCCGCGGUAACACCGGCGGCCCGAGUGGUAGCCGUUAUUAUUGGGUUUAAAGGGUCCGUAGCCGGCCUAUUAAGUCUCUUGGGAAAUCUGGCGACUCAAUCGUCAGGCGUUCAAGAGAUACUGGUAGGCUUGGGACCGGGAGAGGUGGGAGGUACUCCAGGGGUAGGGGUGAAAUCUCGUAAUCCUUGGGGGACCACCGAUGGCGAAGGCAUCCCACCAGAACGGGUCCGACGGUGAGGGACGAAAGCUGGGGGCACGAACCGGAUUAGAUACCCGGGUAGUCCCAGCCGUAAACGAUGCUCGCUAGGUGUCAGGUGCGGUGCGACCGCAUCUGGUGCCGCAGUGAAAACUUGAAGCGAGUCACCUGGGAAGUACGGUCGCAAGGCUGAAACUUAAAGGAAUUGGCGGGGGAGCACUACAACGGGUGGAGCCUGCGGUUCAAUUGGAUUCAACGCCGGG
rnacentral:rRNA from 1 species